AGAUUAAGUUAUUAAGGGCGCACGGUGGAUGCCUUGGCACUAGAAGCCGAUGAAGGACGUUACUAACGACGAUAUGCUUUGGGGAGCUGUAAGUAAGCUUUGAUCCAGAGAUUUCCGAAUGGGGAAACCCAGCAUGAGUUAUGUCAUGUUAUCGAUAUGUGAAUACAUAGCAUAUCAGAAGGCACACCCGGAGAACUGAAACAUCUUAGUACCCGGAGGAAGAGAAAGAAAAUUCGAUUCCCUUAGUAGCGGCGAGCGAAACGGGAAGAGCCCAAACCAACAAGCUUGCUUGUUGGGGUUGUAGGACACUCUAUACGGAGUUACAAAGGACGACAUUAGACGAAUCAUCUGGAAAGAUGAAUCAAAGAAGGUAAUAAUCCUGUAGUCGAAAAUGUUGUCUCUCUUGAGUGGAUCCUGAGUACGACGGAGCACGUGAAAUUCCGUCGGAAUCUGGGAGGACCAUCUCCUAAGGCUAAAUACUCUCUAGUGACCGAUAGUGAACCAGUACCGUGAGGGAAAGGUGAAAAGCACCCCGGAAGGGGAGUGAAAUAGAACCUGAAACCGUGUGCUUACAAGUAGUCAGAGCCCGUUAAUGGGUGAUGGCGUGCCUUUUGUAGAAUGAACCGGCGAGUUACGAUUUGAUGCAAGGUUAAGCAGUAAAUGUGGAGCCGUAGCGAAAGCGAGUCUGAAUAGGGCGUUUAGUAUUUGGUCGUAGACCCGAAACCAGGUGAUCUACCCUUGGUCAGGUUGAAGUUCAGGUAACACUGAAUGGAGGACCGAACCGACUUACGUUGAAAAGUGAGCGGAUGAACUGAGGGUAGCGGAGAAAUUCCAAUCGAACCUGGAGAUAGCUGGUUCUCUCCGAAAUAGCUUUAGGGCUAGCCUCAAGUGAUGAUUAUUGGAGGUAGAGCACUGUUUGGACGAGGGGCCCCUCUCGGGUUACCGAAUUCAGACAAACUCCGAAUGCCAAUUAAUUUAACUUGGGAGUCAGAACAUGGGUGAUAAGGUCCGUGUUCGAAAGGGAAACAGCCCAGACCACCAGCUAAGGUCCCAAAAUAUAUGUUAAGUGGAAAAGGAUGUGGCGUUGCCCAGACAACUAGGAUGUUGGCUUAGAAGCAGCCAUCAUUUAAAGAGUGCGUAAUAGCUCACUAGUCGAGUGACACUGCGCCGAAAAUGUACCGGGGCUAAACAUAUUACCGAAGCUGUGGAUUGUCCUUUGGACAAUGGUAGGAGAGCGUUCUAAGGGCGUUGAAGCAUGAUCGUAAGGACAUGUGGAGCGCUUAGAAGUGAGAAUGCCGGUGUGAGUAGCGAAAGACGGGUGAGAAUCCCGUCCACCGAUUGACUAAGGUUUCCAGAGGAAGGCUCGUCCGCUCUGGGUUAGUCGGGUCCUAAGCUGAGGCCGACAGGCGUAGGCGAUGGAUAACAGGUUGAUAUUCCUGUACCACCUAUAAUCGUUUUAAUCGAUGGGGGGACGCAGUAGGAUAGGCGAAGCGUGCGAUUGGAUUGCACGUCUAAGCAGUAAGGCUGAGUAUUAGGCAAAUCCGGUACUCGUUAAGGCUGAGCUGUGAUGGGGAGAAGACAUUGUGUCUUCGAGUCGUUGAUUUCACACUGCCGAGAAAAGCCUCUAGAUAGAAAAUAGGUGCCCGUACCGCAAACCGACACAGGUAGUCAAGAUGAGAAUUCUAAGGUGAGCGAGCGAACUCUCGUUAAGGAACUCGGCAAAAUGACCCCGUAACUUCGGGAGAAGGGGUGCUCUUUAGGGUUAACGCCCAGAAGAGCCGCAGUGAAUAGGCCCAAGCGACUGUUUAUCAAAAACACAGGUCUCUGCUAAACCGUAAGGUGAUGUAUAGGGGCUGACGCCUGCCCGGUGCUGGAAGGUUAAGAGGAGUGGUUAGCUUCUGCGAAGCUACGAAUCGAAGCCCCAGUAAACGGCGGCCGUAACUAUAACGGUCCUAAGGUAGCGAAAUUCCUUGUCGGGUAAGUUCCGACCCGCACGAAAGGCGUAACGAUUUGGGCACUGUCUCAACGAGAGACUCGGUGAAAUCAUAGUACCUGUGAAGAUGCAGGUUACCCGCGACAGGACGGAAAGACCCCGUGGAGCUUUACUGUAGCCUGAUAUUGAAAUUCGGCACAGCUUGUACAGGAUAGG
rnacentral:rRNA from 1 species